rnacentral:rRNA from 1 species
UACGUAGGGGGCAAGCGUUGUCCGGAUUUAUUGGGCGUAAAGAGCGUGUAGGCGGCCGCACAGGUCCGUUGUGAAAACUGGAGGCUUAACCUCCAGACGUCGAUGGAAACCGUGCGGCUAGAGUCCGGAAGAGGAGAGUGGAAUUACUGGUGUAGCGGUGAAAUGCGCAGAUAUCAGGAGGAACACCAAUUGCGAAGGCAGCUCGCUGGGACGUGACUGACGCUGAGACGCGAAAGCGUGGGGAGCAAACAGG